UACGUAGGGGGCAAGCGUUGUCCGGAUUUAUUGGGCGUAAAGAGCGUGUAGGCGGUUAGGUAGGUCCGUUCUGAAAACUCGAGGCUCAACCUCGAGACGCGGAUGGAAACCAUCUAACUAGAGUCCGGAAGAGGAGAGUGGAAUUCCUGGUGUAGCGGUGAAAUGCGCAGAUAUCAGGAAGAACACCCGUGGCUAAGGCGGCUCUCUAGUACGGUACUGACGCUGAGACGCGAAAGCGUGGGGAGCGAACAGG
rnacentral:rRNA from 1 species